rnacentral:rRNA from 1 species
GUGCCAGCCGCCGCGGUAAUACGUAGGGUGCGAGCGUUAAUCGGAAUUACUGGGCGUAAAGCGUGCGCAGGCGGUUCGCUAAGACAGGUGUGAAAUCCCCGGGCUUAACCUGGGAAUGGCGCUUGUGACUGGCGGGCUUGAGUACGGCAGAGGGAGGUGGAAUUCCACGUGUAGCAGUGAAAUGCGUAGAUAUGUGGAGGAACACCGAUGGCGAAGGCAGCCUCCUGGGCCAGUACUGACGCUCAUGCACGAAAGCGUGGGGAGCAAACAGGAUUAGAAACCCCCGUAGUCC